rnacentral:misc_RNA from 1 species
GUAGGUUUAAGCCAUGGUUUUAGUAAAUAGGAAAAGGGUUGAUUUUGGUCCCUUAAUUAAUGCCAAAUAGUCACAUUAGCUCUUCAAAAAUUGCAAUCAAAUAAGCCCUGCACAAUUUUAUUAGGGUCAAUUGGAUUCUUUAUAUUUUUAUUUUAGCUCAAAUUGGUCCAAUAGCUCAUGGUGAGGCAAAUGAUCAUCCAAUUCCUGCAUUUGCAAAAAAACUUGAAAAAAAAUAAAAAUUAACUCAAAAUAAAAAAAAUUGGGGCUUUUCCUUCAUUAUUGUCUUUUUCCCUCUUGGCCUUUCUCUCAGUCCAAAAUGCAUCUCACCUCCACACACCAGUGACUUUGAUGUCACUGGACAUAACCACCACUGUCCUCUUCUUCACUUCUUGCAAUCAAUCCCUUCUUUACAGAAUUUGCACCACAUGCCUUUCUCUUUUCUUAAAGGACCACCAAACCUUGUCCCUCAAAUCCACACCUUCAUUUCACUCUAGAAUCGUAGCCCUCUACUUCUCCAAACUCACUUUCAAUUACCAUUGCAGGUUCAUCUUCUCGGCCACCUCCUCCACUAUCGCUUUGACCUUCUGCAUGAUAAUUGGAUUUUGGAUACCAUUAUUACCAGGUUUUUGGCGUUUGGGAAGAUAUAUAAUUUGUCUACAAAUAAUCCUAUAUCAAUAAAAGACAUUUCACAAAUUUUAUUUGCAUGCAAAAUUUGUGACAUUUCUGAGGUAGUUUCUCAACAGCCUUUUGUUAACCCAUUUUUGUCACAACCUCAAAUUACUAGAU